AUGAACGCUGGCGGCGUGCCUAACACAUGCAAGUCGAACGGAGAUGCGAUGUGAGCGAGAGGUGCUUGCACUGAUUAAUCUUUCGUAUCUUAGUGGCGGACGGGUGAGUAACGCGUGGGUAACCUGCCUUAUACCGGGGGAUAACACUUAGAAAUAGGUGCUAAUACCGCAUAAGCGCACGGUGUCGCAUGACACAGUGUGAAAAACUCCGGUGGUAUAAGAUGGACCCGCGUCUGAUUAGCCAGUUGGCAGGGUAACGGCCUACCAAAGCGACGAUCAGUAGCCGGCCUGAGAGGGUGAACGGCCACAUUGGGACUGAGACACGGCCCAAACUCCUACGGGAGGCAGCAGUGGGGAAUAUUGCACAAUGGGGGAAACCCUGAUGCAGCGACGCCGCGUGAGUGAUGAAGUAUUUCGGUAUGUAAAACUCUAUCAGCAGGGAAGAUAAUGACGGUACCUGACUAAGAAGCACCGGCUAAAUACGUG
rnacentral:rRNA from 1 species